UUUUAAUUACAUUUUCAAUUUCAUUGGUUGAUACUGUGUUGUUCAGAAUUUUCAGGUCUUCUUCAUUCAACUUUGGUAAUUCAUAUGUAUCUAGGAAUCUGUCCAUUUCUUCUGUGUUGUCCAUCUUAUUGGGUUCUGGAAGUAGGUAUUGAUGAUCCUGUGGAUUUGUGCUGGGUCUGUUGUAAUUUCACCCUUUUCAUUCCGAAUUGCAUGGAUUUGGGCCUUUUCUUUCCUUUUUCUGACAAGGUUGGCUAAAGGUUUGUUGAUUCUUUUGAAGAACCAACUCUUGGCUUCAUUGAUUUUUUUGUAUUGUUCUCUUGGUCUCCAUUGCAUUGAUUUCUCCUCUGAUCUUUAUAAUUUCCUCCCUUGUAUGAGCUCUGGGGUUGUCCUGCUCUUCUUUUUCUAGAAGCUUGAGGUUCAGCAUCAGGCUGUUUAAUUGGACUCAUUCUGUUUUCCUAAUAUGCAUAUUCACUGCUAUGAAUUUCCCUCCUAAGACUGCUUUCAUUGUGUCCCAUAGAUUCUGAUACAUUGUAUUGUCAUUGUCAUUUAAUUGAAGGAACUGUCUGAUUUCUUCUUUAAUUUCCUGUGUGACCCAUUGGUUAUUCAGAAGUGUGUUGUUCAAUUUCCAUGUGUUUAUGAAAUUUUUUGAGUUUCUUUUGCUAUGGAUCUCCAAUUUCAUUGCACUAUGGUCUGAUAAUAUACAGGGGAUAACUUCAAUUCCUUUGCACUUACUUAAACAUGUUCUAUGUGUGAGUAUGUGGUCUAUUUUGAGAAUGACCCAUGUGCAGCUGAGAAGAAUGUGUAUUCUGAUUUUGUGGGAUGCAAGACUCUGUAAACAUCUAUUAAGUUCAUUUGUUCAAGAGUUCGAUUGAGUUCUAGUAUUUCAUUACUUAUUUUUAGUCUAGUUGAUCUAUCUAUUUGUGACAGUGGGGUGUUGAGGUCCCCCACUACAAUUGUAUUAGUGCAUAUAUGGCUUUUCAUGUCCGUUAGUAUUUGUUUUAUAUAGUUGGGUGCACUAGUGUUUGGUGCAUAGAUAUUUAUGAUUGUCAUCUCUUCCUCUUGGAUUCUUCCCUUUACAAGGAUGUAGUGUCCUUCUUUGUCUCUCUUAAUCAGGGUUGGUUUGAAAUCUACUUGAUCUGCCAAGAGGAUAGCUACUCCUGCUUUUUUGGGGGUUCCUGUCACAUCCAGUAUUGUUUUCCACCCUUUAAGUUUCAGUCUGUGAGUUUCCUUUUGAAUUAAGUGUGUUUCUUGUAUGCAGCAUAUUGUUGGAUUUUGCUUCUUGACCCAUUCUGCCAGUCUGUUUCUUUUGAUUGGUCAAUUGAGACCAUUAACAUUGAUGGUUAUAACUGAAAUGUAUUGACUUGUCAUUGCCAUGAUUUUUUCUUUUUGUUGGGUUCUCCCCCUUUCCAUUUAAUUUCUUGUCAUGCCAGAUGGGUUCAUUCUGCUUUGCUUCCUGGAGUUGUGAUCCUCAAUGUCUGUUCCUAGGAUAUUGUCUAAAAUUUUUUGGAGUGCUGGUUUGGUAUUAAUGAAGUUCCUGAGGUGCUCUUUGUCAUGAAAGUAUCUUAUUUCUCCAUGAAUUUUGAAAGAUAGUUUUGCAGGGUACAUCAAUCUGGGUUGGAGGCUGUUUUCUUUUAGGGCUUGCAAUAUGUCACUCCAAGCUCUUCUUGCCUUGAGGGUUUGUGAUGAGAAGUCUGCUGUGAUUCUGAUGGGCUUUCCUUUGUAUGUGAUUUGUUUCUUUUCUCUGACUGCUUGGAGAACUUUGUUUUUCUGUUGAGUUUCUGGAAUCUUAACAAUUAUAUGCCUAUGUGUAGUUUUGUUUUGAUCAAGGCUAUUUGGAGUCCUAUAUGCCUCACUUAUCUGUAUGUCAAGCUCUUUUCCCCUGCUUGGGAAGUUUUCUGCCAUUAUUUCUGUGAAGAGAUUUUUUAUGUCAUCUGCACUCUCUCCUGUUUCUUCAUUGACUCCAAUCAGUCUUAUGUUAUUCUUUUUUGCAUCAUCUAGCAGCUGCUGGAUUGAUUUCUCAUGUUCCCUUAUAAUUUUGAAGCAAUUUUUUUUUCCUGGUCACUAAUUGCAAUUUUAUCUUCUGUAUCUGAAAUUCUGUCCUCACAUUGGCUCAUUCUGCUGUGUAGACUUUCAAUGGAGUUUUUCAUGUCCUGGAAAUCUAUUUGCAUCUGUUUUAUGGAUUCCAUUUGUUUCUUAUGUUGGGAUUCCAUCAUGUUCCUUAGCUCCUCUCUAGAGUUAUUAAUCAUGUCUUGCACUAGGGGCCCAAUUUCUCCUGUUAUCUGAGAAAUUAUUUCUGAUUUCAUUUUUUCCAGAUCCCCUUUUGUUUCCAGUUCAGUGGGUCCAGGUGGUUGAGUAUCAGAGUGUUCCAUCUCAUUUCCCUUUGGAGUUGCUGUAGGUGAUCUGGAAGUCUGGUUUUGAGACUUAUUUAUGUGUUUUCUCAUUUCGACUGGGGCGGAGGCCUUUUAGCACCUGCACGGAUUACCUCCUCUGAGCUGGGUGAGGUGGGACAGGGAUGGUGACCCAAAAGCCCUUUCCUGUGGCCUGGGAGCAGCCGGAGGGAUGGUGGCUGGGAUACCGCUUCCUCUGGACCAGGAGCAGUGGAAUGGUGGCUCAGAAGCCCCUUCCUCUGGGCUAGGAGCAGCUGGACAGAAGGUGGCCCAAAAGCCCUUUCCUGUGGGCUGGGAGCAGCGGGAGGGAUGGUUACCAGGAAGCCCCUUCCCCCGGGCCAGGAGCAGUGGGACGAUGGCUCAGAAGCCCCUACCUCUGGGCCGGGAACAGUGGGACUCAGUACCUUGGUCUGGUGGUCUGGUGUCCUCUGUGUCUUUGUAGUGUGGAAUCAGGUGGCUGCCUGUCUGCAGCAGGGUGAUUCAGUGUCUUCCACAGGACUCAGGACCUCGGUAGGGCGUGCACAGACCUGCCUGUCUGCAGCGGACUGAUUCGGCAUGUUUUGUUUGACUCAGGACCUCAGUAGGGCAUGGGCAGACCUGCCUGUCUGCAGCGGGGUGAUUAGGUGUCUUCCGCAUGACUCAGGACCUCGGUAGGGCAUGCACAGACCUGCCUGUCUGCAGUGGGCUGAUUUGGCGUGUUCUGUAAGACUCAGGACAUUGGUAGGGCAUGGGCAGACCUGUCUGUCUGCAGCAGGGUGAUUAGGCAUCUUCUGCAGGACUCAGGACCUCAGUAAGGUGUGCACAGGCUUGUCUGUCUGCAGCGGGCUGAUUCUGCGUGUGUUCCAUGGGAUUGGGGACCUUGGUCACAGGGAGAGUCUUUAAUAGAGACUGGGGUGGAGUUUGUAGGGGCUGAGGUGGGGUUGAGUGAGGUAGUCCAACUUUCUAGUAUUAAGGACCUAUUCCAGAAUAUGAAAUACUGGAACUGCUUGAUUUCUGUAUCAUUCCUCUGGGGAAAACAUUGAUAACUACUUUUAUUAUUUUGUCCAUUGUCAUUCCACGUACAUCUAAAAGUAUUCAUUGUUGGUAUGGAUUCAACUUGUAGAGGUUAUUAUGCUGUUGUCAAUUUUCUGAAAAUAAUGUUUAAGAUAAUUCUGUUAUCCUAAGGCUGAUAUUGUUCUACUGGUAAACAAGGAGGUUGUUUAAAAAUGUCAUGAAAUACAUUGAAAUACAGUUUGAAAUAAAGGUUUAGUUGAAAUAUUUAGAGUUGUGCAACUAGUUUCCAUAUUAAUCAAUCCCUUGUCCUUUAAUACCUAGCUAAAUUUUUCUUUAAUUUUCAAGAAAAGCAGUUCUUUUUUUUUAUUUUUGUAGACAUGUAAGACAUUUUUAAAUUUAUCAUUAGCAGGCUAAUUGAGUGUUAAAUAUUGAUCAGAAAAUAGUUUUAAUGCCUACAGUAAAUGAGACACUUUACAUGAAUCUAUAUCCCAUAGUGGUUUGUUUUUUUGGGUUUUUUUUUUUUGGUACCGGGGAUCGAACUCAGGUCCUUGUGCUUGAGCAGCAGGCAGCGAAACCACUGAGCUAAAUCCCCGGCCCAAUCCCAUAGUGUUUUUAUUUGAAAGCUUACCUUAAUUUUAUUAAUUAGGAGCUGAAGAUCAGGGAUAUAAACUUACUCAAAUACAUAUAACUAGUGUAGAGAAAUCCCAGAUCUAAACUCAAAUCUAUCACAUUCAAAUGAGAUAUCAUGUUUUCUUCCCUAAUGCCAACCUCAAGUCCCCAAACCCAUGAUGUUAUUUUGGUAUAUUGCCAAUGAAUUUCUCCAAGUGAUUAAUCUUUUCUGUCUUUCAAGAUAGGAAUUAUUUAAAAUGUGGACUAGUGCUUUAUCUUUGGCCAUAUUUGUACUUUUCCAAACUUGAAUUUGGCCCCUAAUAAUAUUUUAGGAUUUCAUGAAUACUUCUAUGAUUAUCCUAAUCUUAAAUUAUACGUAUAACAUCAUUGUUUAAUAGAUCAGGAUUCAAUGCUCUAUCUUAACUUUCAGAGACUUUCAGACCCUAUUUACACUGUGCAUCUUCUGGUUAUAAUAUUAGAUACAUCACUUUCUGUUAAUGCCUUUGUGGGUUGUGGAGACUGGAAAUGUAUCAGAUGCCCAUUCAAAGAGAUCAAAACUUUAUGUAAAAAUAAGCAAACCUUUCUAGAUUGUUUUCUGUACACUGAAUGAGUCUCAAUGUUUUAUUAGUCUUUUUUGGUUACAGGUUCAUAGAAAGUUAAUACCAUUAGGAAAUAGUUCAGCAUGAUUCAUAAAUUAUAUUUUGAGUGGUAUCUAAUAUAUCAAAAUGAUUGCUUUAAAGUAUUUUUUACUUUCCUCCAGAAUCCCUGCCUUGCUUUUGUCCUUAUUCAGAAUAAUAGCUAAGGUUUGUCUGAUAUCUUUCAUUUGUGAAGCCCUACAUGAGACAGUUCAUAUAACUUGCUUCAGUAAGUCUUCUACAAUGUGGUACACACACUUUCUAUAUUUUACAGAUUAAGAAACUGAGGCUUGCACUUCUGCUUUCUGCUUAUUCACCCCAACCGAAUGAAAUCUUCUGACUGGUUAUCUUUUUUGAUUUGAGUGUCACUGCUUGUGUGAGAUUUUAUUCUCUACUUUGGCGGGAGGGGGGGGAUCAUUGAAAAAAUUAUGAAUCGGGAAAGGUUACAAAACUAAUCCAUAAAAAGUAUUUUAUUGACUUGUUUACUAAAUACCAGGAAUUAUUCUAUAUGCUGUUAUGUAGUUAUGUUAGGUAGCUUCUAAGAUGGCAUCCACUGAUCUCUACAUUCAUUAGCCACAUUUUUGUAUAUAUUUCUCUUCCUUUAUUACUGCUGGACUUGAUUUACUUCAAAUACAAGGUACAAAAGAUGAGAUAAAACAUAUAAGAUUAAAUUUUUUUAAAUGGUUGUGACUUUCACCUUGAGUGCCUCUCUUAGUCUCUCCUGAUUGAUUUCCCUGGAGAAAGUCAAAUAACCAUUUUCUGAGACAGCCUUGUAGAGACACCCACAUGGCAAGAGACUGAGCUGCCAACAACUAAGGGAGUGAAUUUGGAAGUGUGUUGCUCACUUUAAUGACACUUCAGAUGGAACCACAGCUCAUAAAAUAGGCAAAAAAGAACAGGGAAUAGUGGCAGGAGAUCAGAUAAGAUAGAUGGGCACAAACUGGUAAUGAAGGGUCUCAGUUUUCAUUUUUAAUUUUAUUCUUAUUUCAACAUAUACACAUUGUAGGAUUUUAUGCAUGGAGAUUAUUUUAUCUGCCCUGAAUUUUAAGAAUACUGUGGUUUCUCGAUAAUAAAAUAUCUACCAACUAAGAAAAGUCCAGGUCCCAGUGGAUUCACUGCUGGAUUCUAUAAAGACAUCAGAGAAGAUCAUAUGACAAUACUCUUCAAACUCUUUAAUGUAAUUCAACAGGAAAAAAUGCUUCAAAAGUUAUUCGGGAAGCUAGAAUUACCCUGAUUCCAAAACCAGACAAGGAUCCAACUAAAAAAGAGAACUACAGGCCAAUCUCUUUAAAGAAUAUAGACACAAAAAUCCUCAACAAGCUACAAUGUAUUGGCAAACAGAAUGCAGCAGGUCAUCAUAAAGAUCAUACAUCAUUACCAAUUCAGCUUUAUCCCAGAGAGGCAAGGAUGGUUCAACAUAUGCAAAUCAAUAAGUGAAAUACAUCAGAUAAACAGAAAAGGACAAAAAUCACAUGAUCAUCUCAACGGAUGCAUAAAAAGCAUUUGAUAAAAUCCGAAAUCGAUUCAUGAUAAAAAUUCCUGAAGAAAAUAACCUCAAUAUGAUAAAUAUCUCAAUCUGAAAAAAGCCAUUUAGGACAGGCCUGCUACCAACAUCAUAUUACAUAGGGAAAAUCUGAACCUUUCCCAUAAAAUUAGAAAUAAGACAAGGAUGUCCACUAUCACCACUCUGGUUCAUUGCAGCACUUGAAAACAUUAGUCAGAGCAAUCAGGCCAACAAAAUAAAAGGGGUAUAUAUAUAUAUAUAUAUAUAUAUAUAUAUAUAUAUAUAUACACAUACAUACAUAUAUAUACACAUAUAUACAUAUAUAUACAUAUAUAUACAUAUAUAUGAAAGAGAUCAAAUUAUUAUUAUCUCCAGACAACAUGAUCCUCUACAUAAAAGACUCCAAAAAAAUUGUACAGAAAGACUGUUAGAGUUAACCAAAUUCAACAAUGUAGCAGGAUACAAAAUCAGCAUACAAAGAGUGUUUUCUACCAAUGAUGCACUCACUGAGAAAGAAAUUAUAAAACAGUGUCAUAUGCAAUAGUGUCAAGAAAAAUUAAACAGUUAAGAAUUAACUUAACCAAGGGAAUAAAAGAUGUCUAAAACAAAACUUACAGUACUCUGAAAAAGGAAAUUGAAGAGAACAUCAGAAAAUGGAAACCUAUCCCCUGUUCCUACUUAGCCAGAACGAGUAUAACCAAAGUGGUUAUACUUUCAGAACCUAUAUACAGAUUUAACACAAUCCCAAUCAAAAUAUCAGUACUUUUCACAGAUCAAAUAAAACAAUCCUAAAAUUUAUAUGGAAUCAGAUGAGACCCAGAAUAACAACAGAAAUCCUGUGUAAGAAAAGCAAAGCAGGAAGGUGUUGAUUUCAAGUUACAUUACAAAGCUACAGUGAUAACGAACAGGAUGAAUCUGAUGCUGGCAAAAAAAACAGCAGGGAGUGGAGGGACAGGGGUAAAAAAGAAUUGAGAUGUGUUGUGUACAUAUACCAAUUUCCCACAAUGAAUGUAAUAAUUAUGUACUGCAAACAUUACUAAUUUUUUUUUAACUAGCAUGGUACUGAUACAAAAAACAGACACGUAGAUAAAUAGAACAGAGUAACAGAUGCACAAACAACUGUAGGAACAUUCAGUUUCUGUGCAGCAAAGGAAAUAACCAACAAGGUGAAGAGACAACCCACAGAAUGGGAAGAAGAUUUUGGAAGCUAUUCCUUGGACAGAGAACUAAUAUCUAGAAGAUAUUAAAAAACUCAAAAAAAUUAGACCCCCAAAAUACAAGACUCAAUCAAAAAAUGGGCACCUGAAAUGAAUAUACACUCUGCAGAAGUUUAAAGAGCCAGUAAAUACAUGAAAAGUGUCAACAUCUCUGCCCAUUAAAGAAAUUGCAAAUGAGUAUUACUCUGAGAUUCUAUCUUACUCCAGAAAGAAUGGUUGUUAUCAAGAAAUCAAUAAUAACAAAUGCUGGCAAGGCUGUGGGGAAAAAUGAGCCCUUGUACAUUGUUGGUGGGAGUGUAAACUAAUACAACCAUUAUGAAAAUCAGUAUGGAGAUUCCUUAAAAAAAUAGAAAUAGAAGUCCAUUUGAUAUCUUUCCAAAAGAGUUACACAUUAUAUUACAGUGAUACAUGAAUAUCUAUGUUUAUAGCAGCACAAUUCAUAAUAGCUAAAUCUUGGAAGCAGCCCAUAGGUCCAUCAACUGAUGAUUGGAUAAAGAAAAUUUGGUAUUUAUACACAAUAAUGUACUGCUUGGCUAUAAAGAAGUACAAACUUGAGUUAUUUGUAGGAAAUCGGAUGUACCUAGAGACCAUAAUAUCAAGUGAAAUAAAUCCAGACACACAAGAUUAAAUAUGGUAUGGUUUCUUUUAUAUGAGAAGCCCAACUUAUGCAGAGCAAAAUUAAAGUUAGGUAUUAGGGAUAUAGAUCUUUUGUAAGUGGGAGGGGACCAAGAGAUGGAAAGAGGAGGAAGGGAAAAGGAAUGGGAUGAAAAGUUAAUUAAGAUAUUUUUUGUACAUGUACCAACUUCCCAUAAGGAAUGUAAUCAUUAUAUUAUGCAAACAUAUCCUAAUAAAAAAUAAAAAUUAAAUAAAAAAGAGAAUACUGUAGCUUCUGUGUAGAUAAUGAAUUGCAAAGGGCACCAAUGGAAGCAGAGAACUCAAUUAGGAGAUCAGACAAGAGAUAAUUGUGAUGUGAGUUUGGGAGAGUAGAGAUGGUAAGAAAUGACUGGUGUGGGGUAUGUUUUGGGAGUUGAGAUAAUGAGUCUCACUGAGGGAUUUGAUGUGGUAGAUGAGGCAAAAAGAACCCCUGGUAUUUGGCCUGAUCAAAUGGGUGGCAAGUGGUACCUGUCACUGAGAUGGGGGAGCGCUGACGUGGAUUAGAAGAGGAAUUGUCACAUGGAUGCUCUAGAAUCCAGAGUUUUUAAAAUCUUUACAAUGAAAUUUUGUCAAGAGCUAUUUGAAUACUUAAAUAAUACGCACUGGCUCCCUUUUUUUCAGUAUACUUGUGUUAAUCAGACAUUUCUCUUAUGGAAUGAUAUAAAAUCCAAUGAGGAAAAUAUCAGGGUAGUGUUUUGAGUAUACCUCAUUAAAACAUAAAUAUAAGAUAACUUUUGAACUUUCCUUGAUCCAGACUUUGUUAUAUCAUAUCUUUCUAUAUUCACUAGUAGUUCAUUCAUUUAUUCAUUCAUGCCACAUCACUCACCUUAAAAGUUUGCAUCAGCUUUUCUAUAAGUCCUGUAAGUGCAGUAGGGAGUUUGAGUAGAUCAUUGUUUCUCUUCUAUAAACAUUAUAGUGAGAAUAGAUAACUAAGGUUAUAUAGGUGCAUUUGCUCCAUAAGCAAAGUAAUUAGAGAACUCCAGAGGAUAUGUUAUUAAUAUGAGUAGUGUUUUGUAAUGAGAGAGCAAGCAGCUAUUAAACUUAAUGUCUUAAAGAACUUUAAAAAGAAAUAAAUUUUAAAAAGCUAAAUUUCAUCUAGCUUAAACAUAAGUACCUGGAAUGAGUAGUUGUGAAAAAUGUCUUUAGGUGUUUAUGUGUUGCCAAAUAUUAAUGAUUCUCUAGCCCAUUGGAAAAUUUGAUUACCAAAAUAUGAGAAACUAAGGGGUUUAAUUUGAUAUGCUAAUUCUGAGCAGAAUAUGUAUUGCUGCUGCUGUGCAUUGUGAGAUACUAGUAUUAACUGGUAUAUUAUAAAAUUAAAUUGUAUUCUAUAGCUCAUUGUAUUGUUCCAUCAGAUUUUGAUAUCCUAAUUUUAAAUAAUUCAUGGGAAGAAAUGUUCACUUCAUAAUGCCACAAACUCACAGCAGGCAAAACUAAUUUUACACAAUAUGAAAACAGAUUUUAUUUAUUUAAAAGGAAUAUUUAAAAAACAUAACAACAACUUUUUUGACACCAGCUGCUGGGAAAUAAAUAGAAUACUUUAUGACAAAAAAUUCUAAGUCUAUAAAAGCUGUUCCUGGGAGGCCAAAUUGAGAAUUGUAAAGAUACAUUUAACUGUCCUGGUCAAUGCUGUAAGCCUUAUUUUGAGUAAAAAGGACCUUCUCUUCUUGCUUAUUGUCUGUAUAGAAAGGAGUACAGGUAGAAAAUUAGCUUAUAAAACAGUCCUUACAUCUACUACAUAAUGCCAACCAAGUCUAAGCUUUAUGCAUCAUUUCAAAGAUCCUCUGUUAGCCUAGAUAGUAUUGAUAGGUAAAUAAUAACUAGUGUCCUUAAAUACAAACUAAAAAAAUAAUGGUUACCUUUUUUUCAAAUCAGACCUUGACUACAAGUGAAAAAUAAAAUUUUGAAGUGACCAGAACAAUUUUCCUUUUUGUGGCUUUAAGGGUGGAAAGAGAAAAUACAGUGGAAAUGUAAUGACACUGUUUGCUUUGGGAGACUUUAUUAGGUGGACAUUUUUAUAUAAAUAUCACACUUUUUAUAUCAUGAAUAAAGUAUCUAACUUGCUGCUCAUUUUGAUACUAACUUCACAUCUGAUGCAAUCAGAUGCUGGCCUCAGAAAAAGAACAGGACCCGUGCCAUGAGUGGGACUAAGUUUAAUCUUAGGAGCACAAGGGCCAAGACCUCCUGGGUGUGUGAAGACAGGAAUUGAAGGUCAGACAAAAGAGGAAAAAGACAGUGGAGUCUAAAAGAAUCAGAUAUUUUACCCUCAAAGAAAUGAAAACACAUUGUGUUGGUAAAAUAAAUGUUGCUUAUUGAAUUUUUCCUUUUAAGAAACGAUUACCUUAAAAAACUCCUGCAGAUUGUGGCAAUGUAAAUCUAAGGCUAACGGGCUGACUCACCAGCAGAAGUUUAUUAUUAUCUCUGAUAACAGCUGAAUUCCAGUCUUCUUUGUGUUCUGUAAAAUGGAGCAGAUUUGUAUAUCCAUGAUGUCAUAGGCAUCAUUGGAAGGGCUUGUAUCUGGUUUUGUUAUAAGUUUCCUUCAUAAUAAGUUAUAAAUUAGGAGUUAGAACAUCAUUGUAGAUUUUAAAGGGUUAGAAAUUUAGAGGGACCAGAGUUUGGUGCUAUCAUUCUUUAACUUUUCCUCAUAUGUACUAAUGUAACUGCGAUUUUAAAUGUUCAGAAGGUGUUACCAGACUCUUUAUGAGGGUGAUGUUUUCAGUAGCUCUCUGUGUUUGUUAGAGGCAAUAGCACAUACAGAGAUAAUGAGUUUCCUUACCCUUAAUGUUUCAGUGCAGUCUAAUGUGUGAAUUAGCAAGUGUGCUUUGGGGAUAAUUGGAAGAGCAUUGGGAUUCCAAUACUGAAAGGCUAAGUUCAAAGUCUAGAUGAAUUCUACUUGCUAGUUGUUGACCUUCUGUAACUCACUUCAACUUUUUUGUACCUCAUUUUUCUUUUUAUCUAUAAAAUGGGGUUAACAAUAAAAUUCUUUUGACAUUCAGUGAAAAAAUAAGAAAGUUCAGGAAAUGUUAAAAUUGUAUAUAUAAAAUGUUCAUUCAUUCCAAUUAAUAAAUACUAUAUAAAAAUUCUUUCUAAAAAUACUGUUAAAAUUUAAGGGUUAAUGUGUGUAUGUAAUGUAAUAUGUGUAACAAUGAAUCCAUUUCUGCUGAAUGUUUUGCUGUAACACAAUCAGAAUUAUAAUGCAAACAUUAAAUAAACUAAGAUGGUAAACAAAUAUUGGUAUUAAAACAAGCUGAGUUAUACUGAAAUGUUAUUUUAGUAAAUCAAUAUGUAUGGGCCAAACUAUUUUAUGUGUAGAAGAGAUAUAUAAUUUUAGAAUUCUACUAAAAAUGAAAAAAAUAAAACUAGAAAUCCACAAAUUUCUAAUUCCUGUGAUGUUCCUAAGGUUUCAGUAUUCUAGAAUAUAAAGUUCACUUUCUUUUACUGAAACCUUAGUUUUAUUUCAGCAUCAAACUUUUCUUUGUAAUGCAAGGACUAUAUACACUAAGAGCUAAACAUCAUUUAAACAGAAUGAGUCAAAGGCCAUAUUACUUUUAUGAAAUUGUACAUUCUAAAAUAAGUUUAAUCUCCUUUCUACUUUUCAGACUGAUUCUACAAGGGCUGACUAAAAAAUAUAAUGAAUGUUUAAAUUUUAAAAAAUUAUUACAAUAAAAGACACAUUACCAUUAAUUUUCUUCAAAAUACCUCCUCCUUUCAUCAAAUACACUUAUCCAGUUAUUCUUGCCACUUUCUGAAAUAGUUCUGGAAGUCCUUUUUCAUGUCUUUAAUGAGUUAUGAUCAGGAAUACAGUGAAUUUUGCUGCUGAAUAUCAUCCAGUGGAAAAGCAGGCUUGUAAAAACCUUAUGGUGUGUCCUCAUUUACCUUAUUCACCAGAUCUGGAGCUGACUUCUAGCUCUUCCCCCAAAGUCAAAAUGACAAUGAAAGCUAAACAUUUUUCAAUUUAUUCAGGACAUCAAAGGAGCCAUGACAACAUGAAUAAAGACAAGUAAAGGAUUUCCACGAAUGUUUCAGAAAGUGGCAAGAGUGAUAGGAUAAGUGUGAGGACAAGUAUUUUAAGGGGGAUUGAAGGUAAUACAUCUUUUACUGUAAUAAUUUUUUAUUUAAAUGUACUAUUUUUUAUCAUAUCUCAUAUAAGUCAAUCAUCAAACACAGAAUAGUGGUCUAAAAUUUGUGAGCUUUCAUAUCAGAACAGGAAUAUCUCUUUCUAUGGGGUGUAAGGAGGUUCAUUCAGUGCACAAAUACAGUAUAUUAUAUUUGAAAUAUGAUAGCUGUCUUUACAAUUAAGAACACUUAAUCUAUGUUGAUUUGGGGCAUAGAGAACUUUAGAAAUAGAAAAGAUAUUUCCAGACUUUCAGGAAUAUAACCAUGUCAUUUGUAUUUAUAGAAUGACACGUCAUGGUUAGUUACAGCAUUUUAAAAAUCAUGUCAUUAGUGAACGUGGGGUGGUUGACCCUUCGUUAUCUUAGGGAAUUUUCACACUGAUAAUAAUUGCCUUUAUAUUGAUAGUAGUCAUCAUGCCUUCAUUAAAUCUGGAGAUGAACAGC
rnacentral:lncRNA from 1 species